GAUGAACGCUGGCGGCGUGCCUAAUACAUGCAAGUCGAGCGAAGCGGGGACGGGUUAGUAACACGUGGAUAACCCCCUAUAAGACUGGGAUAACUUCGGGAAACCGGAGCUAAACCGGAUACUUAUCGAUGGAUCCGCGCUGCAUUAGCAAGUUGGUAAGGUAACGGCUUACCAGGGCAACGAUGCAUAGCCGACCAGAGAGGAUGAUCGGCCACACAUAAACUGUAACACGGUCCGAACUCCUACGGGAACCAGCAGUAAGGAAUCUUCCGCAAUGGGCGAAAGCCUUACGGAGCAGCACCGCAUGAGUGAUGAGGGUCUUCAGAUCAUAAACCUCUGUUAUUGUUGAAGCGGUACCUAAUCAGAAAACCACGGCUAACUACGUGCCAGCAGCCGCGGUGAUUC
rnacentral:rRNA from 1 species